UCUCCCAUAGCUUAGUUGGUAGAGCGUAAUGCUUAUAUUCUGACAUUCUCCGGAAGUCAAUAUGCUUGGUAGCACAAUCUCGCAAGAGACGUUAAUGUCACGGGUUCGAGUCCCGUUGGGAGAA
rnacentral:tRNA from 1 species